UACGUAGGGGGCAAGCGUUGUCCGGAAUCAUUGGGCGUAAAGAGCGUGUAGGCGGCCCGAUAAGUCCGCUGUGAAAGUCCAGGGCUCAACUCCAGAACUGCCUUUGAUACUGGCGAGCUCGAGUCCGGGAGAGGUGAGUGGAACUGCGAGUGUAGAGGUGAAAUUCGUAGAUAUUCGCAAGAACACCAGUGGCGAAGGCGGCUCACUGGCCCGGUACUGACGCUGAGGCACGAAAGCGUGGGAGCAAACAGGG
rnacentral:rRNA from 1 species